rnacentral:rRNA from 1 species
GACGAACGUUGGCGGCGUGCUUAAUACAUGCAAGUCAACUGAAGCAGUGGUAGCAAUAUCGCUGUGGAGGUGGCGCACGGGUGAGUAACACGUAGGUAAUCUGCCUUCAGGUCUGGCAUAACUCCGGGAAACCGGGGCUAAUAGCAGAUGAUGCAGCGGCUCGACAUCGAGACAGUUGUUAAAGCUAUGGCGCCUGAAGAUGAGCCUGCGUCUGAUUAGCUAGUUGGCGGGGUAACGGCCCACCAAGGCAACGAUCAGUAGCUGGUCUGAGAGGAUGAUCAGCCACACUGGAACUGAGACACGGUCCAGACUACUACGGGAGGCAGCAGUAAGGAAUAUUGCUCAAUGGGAGAAAUCCUGAAGCAGCAACGCCGCGUGAGGGACGAAGGGCUUUGGCUUGUAAACCUCUGUAGUGAGAGAAAAAAAUCCCAAUCUUUGGGACAUGAUGGUAUCUCAAAAGUAAGCCCCGGCUAACUACGUG